AGGCCCUUCAACGAAAUGCUAGGGGCAUUAGCGUCAUUUUCCUCACGUACGUCGUGUCCAAGCCCGGGGCACGCGGGGGACGUAUCUCCCUUCCCUUCCCUCCUUCCAAUGGUGUCUUUAUGCCGAAUUGUCUCUCCUUUCCUUCCAUCCUCACCGCAGCAACACCUCUUAUCCUUCCCGUUUUGCCCUCGACGAUCGCACAAUAUCACCAAAUUGCCACUCUUCGGCCGAAGCCGCUUCUCAAAGCUCGUCUCUUCGUCGACGCCUUCGUCAUCCAUGGAAACUCCUCCUGAAGGCUACAGAAGGAACGUAGGCAUCUGCCUUACGAACCCUUGUAAAAACAAGAUAUUCAAUGCUUCAAGGCUGGAUAUCCCUGGCGCCUGGCAAAUGCCGCAGGGCGGUGUUGAUGAGGGAGAAGAUCCAAAACAUGCAGCUAUCAGAGAGUUGAGAGAAGAAACUGGAGUUGCUUCUGCAGAAGUUAUUGCAGAGGUCCCUUACUGGCUGACUUAUGAUUUCCCUCCAGAUGUGAAAGAAAAAAUUAAUAGUUCGUGGGGAUCAAACUGGAAAGGUCAAGCACAGAAGUGGUUUCUUCUUAGACUUACUGGAAAUGAAGACGAGAUUAAUCUUUUGGGCGAUGGGAGAGAGAAGGCGGAGUUUGGAGAGUGGUCAUGGAUGACACCCCAGCAAGUAAUCGAGCUUGCAGUGGAUUUCAAGAAGCCUAUUUACGAGGAAGUUUUGAAGGUUUUUGCUCCUCACUUGCAGUCAGAUUCAGAUGAGCAGGUAUAGACAACUGAUGCCUCCAGAAAUUCUGUUGUGCGUCUGUGAUGGUGGCAGGUCAAAAUGGUAUCCAAAUUGAUAUCUGUGCAAAAGCUUUGGGAGGUUACAUAUGGUGUUUUUGUAAGAGAGAGAGAGAGAGCAAAAACGAAAAGAAAAUAAAAAGACCUCGUUUUGAUUUUUCUGUCAGUUAAUGUUUUUAAAUUAGGUUGUGUUUUGUUGCACCAAUUAGACUGAUUAAUCAUGAAAUAUCAUGAUACUGGGUGAAACCAAACACAAUCUUAGCGAACUGUAUAGGCAACUCAAAUCAUUGAGAAAGGCAGAAGAAGUCUUUUUGAAAAUCCAAAAUGCUUGAGCAACCUAAUCUUCAGAGAGCUGGGCAUAGUUCAAAAACCUGAAAACUCGACUAUCAAAUUGAUAUUUAAUGGUUGAAUUAAUAUGUAUAUUUGAGUAAUAAUAGAUAUUUGAUAUGUUA